GACAGAGGGUGCAAACGUUGUUCGGAUUUACUGGGCGUAAAGCGCGUGUAGGCGGCUUGGCAAGUCGGGUGUGAAAUCCCCAGGCCUAACCUGGGAACUGCACCCGAGACUGCAUGGCUAGAGUAUGGGAGAGGGAAGUGGAAUUUCAGGUGUAGCGGUGAAAUGCGUAGAUAUCUGAAGGAACAUCAGUGGCGAAAGCGACUUCCUGGACCAAUACUGACGCUCAUGUGCGAAAGCGUGGGGAGCAAACAGG
rnacentral:rRNA from 1 species